GGAUGCGAGGGCAAUCUGGCUGCAGCAUCUGUCACCCCGUCGAUCACUAGGGUUGAUCUGGCUGGCUUAGGUGGGUGUCCCCUUCCUCCCUCACAGCUCCAUGCGUCCCUCCCAAAGCUUCACACCCUUCCCAGAUCGAGGAGGACUAUUGUUCAGUCAAGGGUAUACGAGUAGCCGUGCUCCCCUGCUAGAAUCUACAAGCAAGCUUUCCGGGGCCAUUCCUUCCUUCCUCUCCCUCAGGGCAUCAUCAUUUAUAGCAGGGGUUUUGCUCUUAUGACAACAAAUCCCUGGGAGGCUCAAACACGGAACAUUUCUUUC
rnacentral:snRNA from 1 species